rnacentral:rRNA from 1 species
UGGGGAAUCUUGCGCAAUGCGCGAAAGCGUGACGCAGCAACGCCGCGUGCGGGAAGACGGCCUUCGGGUUGUAAACCGCUUUCAGUUGGGACGAAGCUCUUCCGGUGAAUAGCCGGUUGGAGUGACGGUACCUUCACAAGAAGCCCCGGCUAACUACGUGCCAGCAGCCGCGGUAAUACGUAGGGGGCAAGCGUUGUCCGGAAUCAUUGGGCGUAAAGAGCGUGUAGGCGGCCCGGUAAGUCCGCUGUGAAAGUCCAGGGCUCAACCCUGGGAUGCCGGUGGAUACUGUCGGGCUCGAGUCCGGAAGAGGAGUGUGGAAUUCCUGGUGUAGCGGUGAAAUGCGCAGAUAUCAGGAGGAACACCAAUGGCGAAGGCAGCACUCUGGGACGUGACUGACGCUGAGACGCGAAAGCGUGGGGAGCAAACA